GAUGAACGCUGGCGGCGUGCCUAAUACAUGCAAGUCGAGCGAACAGACGAGGAGCUUGCUCCUCUGACGUUAGCGGCGGACGGGUGAGUAACACGUGGAUAACCUACCUAUAAGACUGGGAUAACUUCGGGAAACCGGAGCUAAUACCGGAUAAUAUAUUGAACCGCAUGGUUCAAUAGUGAAAGACGGUUUUGCUGUUACUUAUAGAUGGAUCCGCGCCGCAUUAGCUAGUUGGUAAGGUAACGGCUUACCAAGGCAACGAUGCGUAGCCGACCUGAGAGGGUGAUCGGCCACACUGGAACUGAGACACGGUCCAGACUCCUACGGGAGGCAGCAGUAGGGAAUCUGCCGCAAUGGGCGAAAGCCUGACGGAGCAACGCCGCGUGAGUGAUGAAGGUCUUCGGAUCGUAAAACUCUGUUAUUAGGGAAGAACAAAUGUGUAAGUAACUAUGCACGUCUUGACGGUACCUAAUCAGAAAGCCACGGCUAACUACGUG
rnacentral:rRNA from 1 species